UCAAUAAGCGGAGGAAAAGAAACUAACAAGGMUUCCCUUAGUAACUGCGAGUGAAGAGGGAAAAGCUCAAAUUUAAAAUCUGACAGUCAUUUGGUUGUCCGAGUUGUAACCUAGAGAAGUGCUGCCUGUGUUGGACCAUGUAUAAGUCUCCUGGAAUGGAGUGUCACAGAGGGUGAGAGUCCCGUCUUUGACAUGGACUGCCAACACAUUGUGGUGUGCUCUCAAAGAGUCGAGUUGUUUGGGAAUGCAGCUCCAAAUUGGUGGUAAAUUCCAUCUAAAGCUAAAUAUUGGCGAGAGACCGAUAGUGAACAAGUACCGUGAGGGAAAGAUGAAAAGAACUUUGGAAAGAGAGUUAAACAGUAUGUGAAAUUGUUGAAAGGGAAACAUUUGAAGUCAGUUGUGUCAGCUGGGGGUCAACCUGGCAUUCAUUUUUUGCUUGGGUGUAUUUCCUGGUUGACAGGUCAACAUCAGUUUUGACCACUAGAAAAAAGCUAAGGAAAUGUGGCACCUUUGAGUGUGUUAUAGUCCUUGGUUGUAUGUGGUGGUUGGGACUGAGGUAUGCAGCACACCGCAAGGCUGGGUUGUGGCCACAUUUGUGCUUAGGAUGUUGGCAUAAUGGCUUUAAGUGACCCGU
rnacentral:rRNA from 1 species